rnacentral:lncRNA from 10 species
UUUCACUCUUGUUGCUGAGAUUGGAGUGCUGUGGCAUGAUCUUGGGUCACUGCAACCUCCACCUCCUGGAUUCAAGCGAUUCUCCUGCCCCAGCCUCCCGAAUAGCUGGGAUUACAGGCGUACACCACCACUUCCAGCUAGUUGUUGUAUUUUUGGUAAGAUGGGGUUUCACCACGUUGGCCAGGCUGGUCUCAAACUCCUGACCUCAAGUGAUCCUCCCAAUGUGGCCUCC